UACGGCGGUCAUGGCGAGAGGGAAACGCCCGGUCUCAUUCCGAACCCGGAAGCUAAGCCUCUCAGCGCCGAUGGUACCAUCAUUCCCGAAACGGGGUCACAGCUACGGCUGUGG
rnacentral:rRNA from 1 species